rnacentral:rRNA from 1 species
AACCUGGUUGAUCCUGCCAGUAGUCAUAUGCUUGUCCUAAAGAUUAAGCCAUGCAUGUGUACGUUCAAGCCCUUGUACGGUGAAACUGCGGAUGGCUCAUUAUAUCAGUGAUAAUUUGGUUGGUGGAGAAUGCUGUGGAUAACCGUGGUAAUUCUAGAGCUAAUACAUGUGGAGCAGACGCAAGUCUGGCAUUUAUUAGAUAAAGCCUUGGCGGGGGGGGUGUAUUCUCUUCCCUGCGCAGGUGAGUAAUGAUAACUGGGCGGAUCGCAAACUAUUUGCGACGCACCAAGGAAAUUUCUGCCCUAUCAACUGUGGAUGGUAGGAUAGGGGCCUACCAUGGUGGCGACGGGUGACGGGGAAUCAGGGUUCGAUUCCGGAGAGGGAGCCUGAGAGAUGGCUACCACUUCCAAGGAAGGCAGCAGGCGCGCAAAUUACCCAAUCCCGAGGCGGGGAGGUAGUGACAGGACAUGACGGGGCGGGGCGCACAGCGCCCUGCGACUGGGUUGAGGAAAAGAUAAAGCGAAUGACGAGAAACGAUUGGAGGGCAAGUCUGGUGCCAGCAGCCGCGGUAAUUCCAGCUCCAAUGGUGUAUAUUAAAGUUGUUGCAGUUGAAAGGCUCGUAGUCGGAAGGCGGGGCGGUGGAUGCAGAGCAGGGAGACCUGGAUCUGGGUCUGGGGCCCUUCGGGGGGCGAGGGAUGAUACCCGACCCCCCCGUUACUGUGAGGAAAUUAGAGUGUUCAAGGCAGGCGUGUGCUUGGAUAGGUUAGCAUGGAAUAACGGGAUGGUCCGUUGGUUGGAGCGUAGGUUGAUAGGGACAGUUGGGGGCAUUGGUAUUUGGCAGUCAGAGGUGAAAUUCUAGGAUUUGCUGAAGACGGACGGGGGCGAAAGCAUUUGCCAAGGAUGUUUUCAUUGAUCAAGAACGAAAGUUGGGGGAUCGAAGACGAUUAGAUACCGUCGUAGUCUCGACAGUAAACGAUGCCGGCGGGGCGUGGGGGGGCCGAAGGCGGAUCUUCCGCGCCCUGGAGAAAUCAGAGCGUGUGGGUUCUGGGGGGAGUAUGGUCGCAAGGCAGAAACUUGAAGGAAUUGACGGAAGGGCACCACCAGGAGUGGAGCCUGCGGCUUAAUUUGACUCAACACGGGGAAACUCACCAGGUCCGGACAUGGGAAGGAUUGACAGACUGAGAGCUCUUUCGAGAUUCUGUGGGAGGUGGUGCAUGGCCGUUGUUGGUUGGUGGAGUGAUUUGUCAGGUUUAUUCCGGUAACGGGCGAGACGGGGGGUGGGGGAUCGCUAAUGUGGUAGUGAUACUGCAUUCUGCGCCACCGCGACACGCGGCGCCAAGCCGCGGGAAGCACCCCGCAAUAACAGGUCUGUGAUGCCCUUUGAUGUUCUGGCUGCACGCGCGCUACACUGGCAGGGGGAGCGGGGACCUGCGCCGAGAGGUGUGGGGAAUCGGGAGCGCCUGCCGUGCUGGGGAUAGAGGAUUGCAAUUGUUUGUCUUGAACGAGGAAUUCCUAGUAGGCGCGAGUCAACAGCUUGCGCCGACUACGUCCCUGCUCUUUGUACACACCGCCCGUCGCUACUACCGAUUGGAUGAGUGGGUGAGGAGGUGGGGGGGACUGAGAGAUUGGUCCUGAACACGGCCAAACCCGUUCAUCUAGAGGAAGUAAAAGUCGUAACAAGGUUUCCGUAGGUGAACCUGCAGAAGGAUCA